UGACGUAGUAAGCUGCACGUUAGAACAGCAGAGAAAAGCUGCCUGUCAAAGAGUGUAUAAGGAUAUAUGGCAGCUGACAUCAAGAAAUAAUGUGCAGUUAGACAGUAAUCCUUCCUUGAGAAGACCGAGCAUGAUGCCGAACUCGUAAAAAACUGGCUGCGGCAAGCCAAAGCCAGAUGUUGUAGUAACCCCCUCAAGCUUCCUCAUUUUGUAACAUACAUAACAUACAUUCUGUUGUAAACAUACAUUCUGUUAAAUAAAA